UGGGAGGCAGAUACACAAAUUGGGCUGCAGACUGCUCUAAUCACCAUACCUUCCUAAAAUAAACUGCCUUUUGAUGACUGGGAUGAAUUGAGUGAAAUAAUGGACAGAUACGGGGGGCGGGAGGAU